UACGGGGGAGCAAGCGUUGUUCGGAUUUACUGGGCGUAAAGGGCGCGUAGGCGGUCGUGACAAGUCACUUGUGAAAUCUCCGGGCUUAACUCGGAACGGUCAAGUGAUACUGUCGUGCUAGAGUACAGAAGGGGCAACUGGAAUUCUCGGUGUAGCGGUGAAAUGCGUAGAUAUCGAGAGGAACACCUGCGGCGAAGGCGGGUUGCUGGGCUGAUACUGACGCUGAGGCGCGAAAGCUAGGGGAGCGAACGGG
rnacentral:rRNA from 1 species